GGGGUGGGGGCCUGGCGGGGGCAUCCGGCGGAGCUGGUGUCCCCGAGCUCGGUCCGGAGGGAGGGAGACUGCGCUCGUUCAGGCAGUCGGAGGGGACGGGACCGCGGGCGGGCGGACUCGCCCUCUCGGUGACUGCGCCGUCCAGGCCCAUCCUGCCUGGCCGCAGGUGCCCCUGGAUGAGGCCGCCCCGCGCGCCCCGACCGGUCUGGAAGUUAAGAAGGGCACUCUUGACCUUUUUCUUGCUGCCUGCAGACAUUGCUGGGAACUCUACUGCACUUGGUGUUCUAGAGAUAAGCUUACUAAGACCCAGAGAACCAGCCUGAAACUAAGCCAGACAGCUGAUGCAUCAUAGGGGGUCCCUGGGACUGUGAGGUGCCAGUGCAGCUGGGCCCAGGACAGUGAGGCCCUUGAUACAAGAGUUUGUGCUCUGGAGGAGGCCAGGAGAACAGCCACAUGGUUGUGAAAAGAUGGAAUUGAAUUCAAAUAGUGAGCUUGCCAUAGGCCUGAGUUGCAGAAUUCCUUCUAGAAGGAGCCCCUGCCUGCCCCUUCUUCCUUGCUUAGCCAAAUCCAAAGCAGUGGUGAAUGAACAAAUGUCCUUUUUGUAUCAGGUACCUUGCCUACUAACUAUACACUGGGGAGCAGUUGGGACAUACCCGAGAGUUUUUAAUGGCAGAGCUGAGACAGGCCUCUAGACUCCAGUACAUUCUUCUUUUCACUGUAUUCCAGUGUCUCUCAACAUCAGAUGAAAUUAUUUUCUCUUCUGAGUUACCAGAAUGUUUUGAUGUCUAUUUAGAUGUUAUUCUCUAAUUGUUGUACAUAACAGUUUUUUAUUUACAGUUCUGGUGUCUAUCUCAUGAGUCUGUAUUGUCUCCUCAGCUAAGUCCUUGAGGACCUGUACCAUCUUGAUCUCUUUUGUAUGACCCUUAGGGCUUGGAAUAUUUAAGUACUCAAUAAUUAACUUGUUUAGCAGUAGAUAAAUAUUUGUUAUCAAAUUUUCAUUGCCCCAAGCUUACAUAUUAACAUACUUUCAGCUGUAGAAACAUCUGGAUUUGCUACUUAAAGCUCAUAUCCCAGAAGAUUAAAGAUUGAAAAGUUAGAAAAAUGCUGUUGUCAUUUAAAAGGAGUUGAGUGCUUCUACAGAUAACUUACAUUUAAUGUUUAGAAACUAGGACACAGUUAGGGAUGGUGAGGUUGGUUACUUAUCUAAAUAAAUGGCUUUGGUCAUAUGGUUGUGUUUUGUUUCUUAAAACUCACAAUCUAAGAUCUAACUUUUAUGGCAGCCACCCCAAAAUACAUAUAGUUAUAGAGAAUACUUUCUUGAAUUAUAAUCAUUUGUGUGUUUUGGUGGACUCGUUUAUUUUUGGGGACACACACAAAAAAAGAAAUAUUUUAUACCUGCUUAAGAUGGUUUGCUUAGUACUUGGUCCCAGUCAGCAUUUUCCACCCCCCAGCUUUAUUGAGGUAUAAUUGACAAAUAAAAAUUGUUAAUAUUUAAGAUAUACAACAUAAUGAUUUGAUACACAUAUACAUUGUGAAAUGAUUAUGACAAACAAGCUAAUUUACAUAGCUAUUACCUCACAUAGUUAUACCCCCCCUUUUUUGGUGACAACAUUGAAGAUCUGCUCUUAGCAAAUUUCAAGUAUACAAUGCAGUACAUUAACUAUAGUUAAUGCCAUAUAUUAGGUCCCCAAGUAAUAUUCAUCUUAUAAGUGAAAGUUUAUACCCCUUGACCAAUAUCUCCCCAUUCCCCCUCCCCCUUCCCAAUCCCUAGAGAAAUGAAAACUUGUAUUCACAGAAAAACUUGUACAUAAAUGUUUUAACAGUUCUAUUCAUAAUUGCCCCAAACUGGAAAUAAUCCAAGUGGCUUUCAACAGGUGACUAGAUAAAUAAAUUGUAGUGCAGUUAAUCAAUGGAAUACUAUUGAGCAAUAAAAUGAAUGAAUUAUUGACACAUGCAACAGCUUGGAUGAGUUUCAAAAGCAUUAUGCUGAGUAAAAGAAGCCAGUCUCAAAAGGUUACUUACUGUAUGAUUCCAUUUAUAUGACAUCAGUGGUUGUCAUGGGUUAAAACAGGAUAGUUAGGGGUUAGGGGUAUGACACAAAGGGAUAGUAUAAGGGAUUUUUGUUUUGUUUUGUAUCACUUUUUUCACUUCCUGCCUUAUUUUGAGUUAUUUGAACAGUUUUUAGUAUUCCAUUUUAAUUUAUCUAUUGUGGGGUUUUUGUGUUGUUUUUUUUUACUAUAUCUCUUUCUAGUGUCUGUGUGCAUGGUUGCUUAGGGAUUAUAAUAUACAUAUUUAAAUUUUCAUAGUCUACUUAGAAUAAAUAUUUUUCCACUUGAGUGGGAUGUAGAAGUCUUAACACUAUGUCUCUUUACCCUCCUCCUUUUUUAUUUUAUUUUCUUAUAUAUUACUUCUACAUACAUAGAACACCCCAUCAGACAUUAUAGUUUUUGCUUUUAACUGCCAAACAUUCAAGAAGAGAAAAAUAAUUUAUUAUAUUUACUCAGAUGGUUAUAAUUUCUUUGUUCUUUCUUCAUUACUAAUGUCCCAUUUUUUCCUUUGUCAUCAUUUUCCUUCUACCAUUUAGUAAUUCUUUUAGAGUAUAUCUGCUGGCCAUGAAUUCUCUUAAUUUUACCUUCACCUGAGAGUGUCUUUAUUUUGCCUUAAUAUCUGAAGAAUAUAUUCACUGGAUAUAGAAAUUCUGUGUUGACAGUUCUUUUCUUUAGGUCCUUUAAAAAUAUGCCAUUUCUUUCUGCACUUUGUGGUUUCUGGUGAGAAAUUUAGAUUCAUUCAAAUUGCUGUUUCCCUAUUAAUAGUAUGUUACUGUGUGUGUGUGUGUGUGUGUGUGUGUGUGUGUGUGUGUGUGUGUCUACUUUCCUAGUUUUCCUUUGUCUUGAGUUUUUAUCAGUUUGACUAUGAUGUGUCUGGGUAUGGGUUUCUUGGGGGUUUGUUCUUUUUUUGGUCCUCUGAGCUUCUCAAAUCUGUAUAUAUGUUGUGUCACCAAGUUUGAAAACUUUAAAAGUCAUUAUUUUCUUAAAUACUUUUGUGCAUUCCACUCUUGCACUCUCCUUUCAGGAUGCCAGUAACACCAACAUUAGACCUUUGUUAUCCCAAAGGUUCUUGAGGCUCUUUUCAUGUUUUGUUCUAUUUGAUGUUCAGACUAGAUAAUUUCUAUCAAUCAGUCUUCAAGUUCACUGACUUCCUUUUAUCAUCUCCAUUUUGCUUAUUGAAGUGAAUUAUUGUAUUUUUCAUUUUUCAAAUUUCCAUUUGGUUCUUUUCCUUUGCUGAGUCUCUCUAUUCAUUUCAAGAAUGUUUGCCCUUCUUGGAGCAUUUUUGGUAACAGCUGCUAUAAGAUCUUCAUCAGGUAAUUCCAACAUUGCAUCAUCUCAACGUUGAGGUCUGUUUAUUGUCUCCUGCAAGUUGGGAUAAAUGAUGUAUUCACAGAAGCCAUAGAACCUCUCAAUAAUUUUGUCUCUUGAUACUUCUAUGAGGUAAUAGUUGCUGCCACUUUUUAUUUUUUUGAUUGGGCAUACGUGGUUGUUUUUAAAACUAUAAGUUUACAAGAAUAAUACAUGAUAUUACAGAAAAAUAAAAGAAUAGUACCUCCUUGUGUAAAAAUUAAAACAAACAUAAGGAGCACUGAUUUUUUUCUGCCUCACUCAUAUUUUUAACUCUUCUUUGAUAGGAAAGGUAUUUGAUCAUCAAAUACCAGGUUCCUAUUAUAGGUAGAUGCUCUUCAGCUCUGACAGCCACUUGUAAAAGGAUAUAAUGAGUGCAGGCAGAUAAUAAAAAUAAAAUGUAUUAUAAUCAGAUGCUCAUAGUUAUACUGUAAUUCUUUGACCUCAGUUUACUUUAAACAGCAGGUAUUCCAGUCUUUACCUCAGCCAGACAUUGCCACAUUAUAUGUAUGCUCUUCUUUGUUGUCCAGAUUCCUCUCCCUUAACUAUCACAGGAGUCCUAAUUUUUUCUUUCUGCCAGGUAUUAUUUCUUCUAGUCCUCAGCAUGUACAGAAAUACUAGUAUGCCUUUCUCUUAUAGAACUAAGUUUCUCUCCCUCACCAUAGCUUAAUCCAUACUGCUUUGUUUUCUGACUGAGGCAUUUGGAUCUUCUAAAAUAUGCGGAAGAUCAUCUGAAUUCAUAGUCAUUUAAUACUAGAGGCCCGAUGCACGAAAUUCGUGCAAGAGUAGGCCUUCCUUCCCUCGGCUGCCGGCACCAGUUUCCCUCUGGCACCUGGGACCCGGCUUCGUCUGGAACGUCAUCCUUCCAGAACUCUGGUCUAAUUAGCAUAUUAUGCUUUUAUUAUUAUAGAUGACCAAGUACAGGAGUAAAAGCAUCUUUUUCAGCAUGGCAUGGAAGAAGACUCUUUAAGUGUGUUUUUCCAGCUUUGGGUUGCUUUUUCUUUUACUUCAUUCCACCUACCUUAUACAUCAGUCACCUGAACCACUCCUCAUCCUUUGGAAAGUCAGACCCUUUCCUGCAUCUGUGCCUUUACAUUACCUGCCUGAAACUGAAAUGCCUUUCUCCACUUGGCAAGUAACUAUUCAUUCUUCAAAACCUUGCUCAACAUCACUUUUUCUGUGAAGCCUUCCCUGACCCCCUGCAUUCAUUAGAAUUAUGUACAGUGACAAGUAACUGAACCACCAAAAUAACAAUGACCUUAAAAACAAGAGGAUUUAUUUUUCUCCCAUAAAAAUUUGGAGUUUGCGGUGUAAGGCUGAAAUGACAGCUCUUCACAAAAUCACUAAGGAAGUAGUUUCCAGUAACUCCUUCAGAAUCUCUCAUAUCUCUCAGACCUUUGUCCUUCUGGCCCAAAGUUGAGGUAUCUUUGUUUUAAGCAGCAUGAGUAUGAAGGAACAAAAAUGAAAGGUCUUAGGCAAGCUAUCUCUUAAAGUUUCCCUAAAGCUCCCACACAACAUUUCUCCGUGCAUCUCAUUGGCUUGAAUGAAGACCGAAUAAUGUGUCUGUUCUUGGCAACUGUGUGCUAGCUAAUUAUAUUAUUACUAGAGGCCCAGUGUACGGAUUUGUGCACCAGUUGGGUCCCUCAGCCUGGCCUGUGCCUUCUUGCAAUCUGGGGCUCCUCGGAGGAUGUCAGACUGCUGGUUUAGGCCAGAUCCCGCAGGCUUGGCCUAAACCGGCAGUCUGACAUCCCCCAAGGGAUGUAGCAGUGUGCGAAGAGGCAGACAGCCGGGGAGGAGCCCGAGCUGGGGCCAGACAACAGCACCGCCACCGCUCGGUAGCUGCCGCAGAGGCGGGAGAGGCUCCCACUGCCGCAGCUGCUCGUCAGCCAUGAGCCUGGCUUCUGGCUGAGCAGUG